AUAAAAUAUCUGUACAAAAUUUCUUAGCCCUCUAGAGGCAAAUAUAGAAACUAAAGAAAAUAAUGUUUCCAUGAUCUAAAGAAGCAAACGUUCCUCUUCCAUACUGGCAUUAAAGCGUAAAAGAAGUUGUUCCCAUUCCGUGAAAAUCAAGAAAUUCUAGAUUAAUCCCGAAACUUUAAAGCUAUAAAAUGAGAGCAAAGUGGCGAAAAAAGAGAAUGCGCAGGUUAAAACGUAAAAGGAGGAAGAUGCGUGCAAGAUCUAAAUAAAUUUUAUAUAUAACCUCC